UACGGGGGGGGCAAGCGUUGUUCGGAAUUACUGGGCGUAAAGAGCUCGUAGGCGGCUUGUCACGUCGGGUGUGAAAGACCGGGGCUUAACUCCGGUUCUGCAUUCGAUACGGGCUAGCUAGAGUGUGGUAGGGGAGAUCGGAAUUCCUGGUGUAGCGGUGAAAUGCGCAGAUAUCAGGAGGAACACCGGUGGCGAAGGCGGAUCUCUGGGCCAUUACUGACGCUGAGGAGCGAAAGCGUGGGGAGCGAACAGG
rnacentral:rRNA from 1 species